GGCUUCCUUCCAUCCAGGACCUGAGGAUCACAGAGAGGGAGAUGGAGUCUCUACUUCAUGGCAACCCUGGUGGUGGGUCCAGAGAGCUGCCCACCUCACAGGAGUUUGUAUGUGCCAAGGUGACAGCAAUGACCGGGCCCUGCCAUCCACCAUCCCUGGGAACUUGAGUGGCCCAGAGUGUCAUGGAAAGAACAUAGCUGCUUUCUAAAAGGGUGAUGCUAUAAAGUUUUGUCAGACCCUCGGAAUCUCAGUCUGUAAAAUGGGAAUAACACCUAUUUCACAGCACACUUCUGGAUGUUUUUAAUGGACUGAUGCUCAGUGAACGUUGGGCUUUACUUGCCACCCUACCUCUGCAAUCUCUGGGUCCUACCUCCAAAAUCUCUCUGAUCUCACACUCAUUCUCCAGCCGCUCCAGUUUCAGGUGGGCUGUGCCGACCAGCUUGUCACUUCUGAAGAAGGAUCUGGGGAGCCAAGGGUCAGCAGAGGGUUGGACUGGGCAGGGAAAGCAGGAACAAGCUGGCUGAGACCAGCACAA